CCCUUAGAUGUUCUGGGCCGCACGCGCGCUACACUGAUGCAUUCAACGAGUCUAAAACCUGCUCUGAUAGGGGUGGGUAAUCUUUUAAAUGUCGAUCGUGAUGGGGCUAGAUUCUUGCAAUUAUUAAUCUCCAACGAGGAAUUCCUAGUAAACGCAAGUCAUCAGCUUGCAUUGAUUACGUCCCUGCCCUUUGUACACACCGCCCGUCGCACCUACCGAUUGAAUGGUCCGGUGAAAUCUUGGGAUUUUGUUUUGUUUGCAUUUAUUUGUAUCGAGACGAGAGAACUUGAGUAAACCUUACCAUUUAGAGGAAGGUGAAGUCGUAACA
rnacentral:rRNA from 1 species